rnacentral:lncRNA from 1 species
CUUUCCGGCCGGACUGCCGCGCCUGUGGCCGGAAGAGCCAGCUAGACCAGAGAGUCUGUACCUGCAACCCUGGCGGCGUCCGAGCCCAAGGCGGAGUCUGGGAGACAAAGAAGUCCUCGCCGCCGGCCGCUGGAGGAUUCUGCCAGUAGUGAAAGAUGGGGUCUCGUUAUGUUGACCAGGCUGGUCUUGAACACCUGACCUGAAGUGAUCCUCUUGCCUCAGCCUCCCAUAGUGCUGCGAUCACAGGUCCUGCCGAGUGCCUGCGAUUGCAGGCACGCGCUGCCACGCCUGACUGGUUUUGGUGGAGACGGGGUUUCGCUGUGUUGGCCGGGCCGGUCUCCAGCCCCUAACCGCGAGUGAUCCGCCAGCCUCGGCCUCCCGAGGUGCCGGGAUUGCAGACGGAGUCUCGUUCACUCAGUGCUCAAUGGUGCCCAGGCUGGAGUGCAGUGGCGUGAUCUCGGCUCGCUACAACCUACACCUCCCAGCCGCCUGCCUUGGCCUCCCAAAGUGCCGAGAUUGCAGCCUCUGCCCAGCCGCCACCCCGUCUGGGAAGUGAGGAGUGUCUCUGCCUGGCCGCCCAUCGUCUGGGAUGUGAGGAGCCCCUCUGCCUGGCUGCCCAGUCUGGAAAGUGAGGAGCGUCUCCGCCCGGCCGCCAUCCCAUCUAGGAAGUGAGGAGUGCCUCUUCCCAGCCGCCAUCACAUCUAGGAAGUGAGGAGCGUCUCUGCCCGGCCGCCCAUCGUCUGAGAUGUGGGGAGCGCCUCUGCCCCGCCGCCCCAUCUGGGAUGUGAGGAGCGCCUCUGCCCGGCCGCGACCCCGUCUGGGAGAUGAAGUUCUGCUCUUGUUGCCCAGGCUGGAGUGCAAUGGCGCGAUCUCGGCUCACCACAACCUCUGCCUCCUGGGUUCAAGUGAUUCUCCUGCCUCAGCCUCCCGAGUAGCUGGGAUUACAGGCAUGCACCACCACUCCCAGCUGAUUUGUUGUAUUUUUAUAUUUUUAGUAGAGACGGGGUUUCUCCACGUUGGUCAGGCUGGUCUCGAACUCCCAACCUCAGGUGAUCUGCCCGCCUCAGCCACCCAAAGUGCCAGGAUAACAGGCGUGAGCCACUGAGUCCGGCAAUUAAUAAAUCCUUUUUUUUUUUUUUUUUGAGAUGGAGUCUCGCUCUGUCGCCCAGGCUGGAGUGCAGUGGCAUGAUCUCGGCUCACUGCAAGCUCUGCCUCCUGGGUUCACGCCAUUCUCCUGACUCAGCCUCCAGAUUAGCUGGGACUACAGGCGCCCACCACCACGCCCGGCUAAUUUUUUGUAUUUUUAGUAGAGACGGGGUUUCACUGUGUUAGCCAGGAUGAUUGUGAACUCCUGACCUCGUGAACUGCCCUCCUCGGCCUCCCAAAGUGCUGGAAUUACAGGCUUGAGCCACUGUGCCCGGCCUAAUAAAUCUUAAUGAUGGCUUUUCUUCUGUGAAAACACCUGACCACUGACCCACCAAAUCUCCCACAGGAAAAGUAAACUUUGAAGUUACUUUUGUCUUGUUCCCUCUUCCUGGUUGCUAGUUUAAUGUAAUGUUUUUGCAAUAGCUAGACUGCUGUAAUAUACUGUCAGUGUUUUUCCAAUUAAAUAGAAACAGAGCUAUAUAAUUA